AUUCCAGCUCCAAUAGCGUAUAUUAAAGUUGUUGCAGUUAAAAAGCUCGUAGUUGGAUUUCAGAGUGAGCUCGUCCGGUCGGCCUAAAUGGUCUGAACUGGUUGACUCUCUCUUGCUUGUGGAUCCCGCCCGGAGUUAACUCUUCGGAUGUGGACUUCACAUCGUUUACCUUGAAAAAAUUAGAGUGUUCAAAGCAGGCGUAUGCUUGAAUAUAUUAGCAUGGAAUAAUGGAAUAGGACCCUGGUUCUAUUUUGUUGGUUUUGAGGACCAGAGUAAUGAUUAAUAGGGAUAGUUGGGGGCAUUCACAUUUCAUUGUCAGAGGUGAAAUUCUUGGAUUUAUGAAAGAUGAACUUCUGCGAAAGCAUUUGCCAAGGAUGUUUUCAUUA
rnacentral:rRNA from 1 species